rnacentral:rRNA from 1 species
AUACGGAGGUUGCAAGCGUUACUCGGAAUCACUGGGCGUAAAGCGCGCGCAGGCGGUCUUUUAAGUUGGAUGUGAAAGCCUACGGCUCAACCGUAGAACUGCAUCCAAAACUAUUAGACUAGAGUGUGGGAGAGGAAGAUGGAAUUAGUUGUGUAGGGGUAAAAUCCGUAGAGAUAACUAGGAAUACCAAAAGCGAAGGCAAUCUUCUGGAACACUACUGACGCUGAGGCGCGAAAGCGUGGGGAGCAAACAGGAUUAGAAACCCGGGUAGUCC